rnacentral:rRNA from 1 species
GGACGAACGCUGGCGGCGUGCCUAAUACAUGCAAGUCGAACGCAUUUUCUUUCACCGUAGCUUGCUACACCGAAAGAAAAUGAGUGGCGAACGGGUGAGUAACACGUGGGUAACCUGCCCAUCAGCGGGGGAUAACACUUGGAAACAGGUGCUAAUACCGCAUAAUUCCAUUUACCGCAUGGUAAAUGGAUGAAAGGCGCUUUUGCGUCACUGAUGGAUGGACCCGCGGUGCAUUAGCUAGUUGGUGGGGUAACGGCCUACCAAGGCUGCGAUGCAUAGCCGACCUGAGAGGGUGAUCGGCCACACUGGGACUGAGACACGGCCCAGACUCCUACGGGAGGCAGCAGUAGGGAAUCUUCGGCAAUGGACGCAAGUCUGACCGAGCAACGCCGCGUGAGUGAAGAAGGUUUUCGGAUCGUAAAACUCUGUUGUUAGAGAAGAACAAGGAUGAGAGUGGAAAGUUCAUCCCUUGACGGUAUCUAACCAGAAAGCCACGGCUAACUACGUG